GAAAUGCGAUAAGUAAUGUGAAUUGCAGAAUUCAGUGAAUCAUCGAAUCUCUGAACGCACCUUGCGCUCCUUGGUAUUCCUUGGAGCAUGCCUGUUUGAGUAUCAUGAAAUCUUCAAAGUAAAUCUUUUGUUAACUCAAUUGGUUUCUACUUUGGUAUUGGAGGUCUUUGCAGCUUCACACCUGCUCCUCUUUGUUCAUUAGCUGGAUCUCAGUGUUAUGCUUGGUUCCACUCGGCGUGAUAAGUUAUCUAUCGCUGAGGACACUGUAAAAGGUGGCCAAGGUAAAUGCAGAUGAACCGCUUCUAAUAGUCCAUUGACUUGGACAAUACUUUUAUGAUCUGAUCUCAAAUCAGGUAGGACUACCCGCUGAACUUAAGC
rnacentral:misc_RNA from 1 species